GCCUUCAAGGUGUAGUGGUCAGCACGCUCGACACGUAACCGAGAGGUCCGUGGUUCGACUCCCUACGAAGGCG
rnacentral:tRNA from 1 species